AGCCAAUGGAAGUAACCAGAAAAAUGUAUAAAGGGAAACGACUGUUGAAAACGUAGCUAGCACUACCAAUCUGACUCAGCAAAAUCAAAGCCAUCACAAGGUUUAUGUCCGAGAGUAAAUUGCACCUUACGUUUCAACGGCUGAAUUUAUGAAGAAGUUCCAAACAAACACCAGAGACUCUUUAACAAAAAAAACAGAACCAUACAAGACCAGACAAAAAGAUUAAUUAAACAAAGGAAAGCUACAAA